rnacentral:ribozyme from 14 species
ACAAACGAAAAUUUUAGAGAAGAAAGAGGGUGGACAUAUGAAAAAAGAGGUGGAAACGGAAUACUUCUCGAAUGUUUUUUUUUUCUUAGUUUUUCAGACUUUAUAUAUUUCU